UUUGAGAUUUAACGAAAACAAAGACAUCGCAAAGACAUCGCAUAUAAAACUAUGCGACUUAUCUCAUACACUGAACCGUACACAUCAUAUAGAAGGGCCCUUUCCCCGAUCAGAAAAGAUCCAAUGUCCGCUGAUUUUGACUGAAUUUAUCAUCAAAUUCCUUCCCAUGAUUCGUGCGCAUUUUGUCAGAGGAAAAAGCCUUAACAUUGAAUCGCACUUCCCAAGAAAUUUCUGAUUUUGGGAUGGGGGAGCUGAUGGUAGAAAAACAUGUAAAGUACAUUUUAGCAGUUGAGAAGAGGAAAGAUGAUUUUGAAUCUGUGGUGAUGGAGCAUCUAAGAUUAAAUGGGGCAUACUGGGGAUUGACAACUCUGGAUAUCAUGGGCAAGCUUGCUGCUGUGGAGCAAGAUGAAGUUAUUUCAUGGGUCAUGCAGUGCCAACACGAAUCUGGUGGAUUUGGUGGUAAUAUUGGACAUGAUCCGCACGUACUCUAUACACUUAGUGCUAUUUAAGUCUUGGCGUUAUUUGAUAAAAUACAUGUUCUUGACAUUGAUAAGGUGUCGAGUUAUAUUGCAGCCCUGCAAAAUGAAGAUGGAUCCUUUUCUGGUGACAUAUGGGGUGAAGUCGAUGCACGGUUCUCUUACAUUGCGAUCCUUUCACUCGCAUUGAUGCAUCAGUUAGAUAAGGUUGAUGUUGGAAAAGCAGUGAAAUAUAUUUUAAGUUGCAAGAAUGUGGAUGGUGGAUUUGGAUGCACACCAGGAGCAGAAUCUCAUGCUGGGCAAAUUUUCUGUUGCGUGGCAGCUCUCGCAAUUACAGGGUCUCUACAUCAUGUUGAUUAGGACCUCCUUGGUUGGUGGCUAUGUGAAAGACAAGUCAAAUCUGGGGGUCUAAAUGGGCGCCCAGAGAAGCUUCCUGAUGUCUGCUACUCUUGGUGGGUUCUUUCCAGCUUAAUUAUGAUUGAUAGGGUCCAUUGGAUUGACAAGGGGAAGCUUGUAAAGUUUAUUCUGGACUGUCAGGAUAAGGAGAAUGGUGGAAUUUCAGAUAGGCCAGAUGAUGCAGUUGAUGUCUUCCAUACGUACUUUGGAGUUGCUGGGCUUUCACUUCUUGAAUAUCCAGGAAUGAAACCUAUAGAUCCUGCUUAUGCGUUGCCUGUUGAUGUUGUAAACCGAGUUAUCCUUGGCAGAUAAUAUCUGGUUUUGCUCCGUUCUAGCUUAUAACUGCCUUUUCCACACAGUUUCUUGAUAUGAGAUUAUCAACAACAAUUUCUCUUGAAAAAGUGGUUUGUGUUAUAAAUGCUGCAGAUUUUCGUCACAAUUGCUAGCUCUGGUUUAUAUCCAUAAGCUGAGUAGAUUAAUCUAUUAUCCUCAUCCUUGUGCAAAACGAUGGCUGAUCUAAUCUUUCCGGGAGUAGCGACCAUGUAGUAGUUGUACUGACUUGUACAGAUAUAUGUCAUCAGAUUAAUGGGAGCUCUUGACGUGUACUCUUUUGGUGAUGGCAGUCUUUUACGUGCAAAUUUAAUAAUGUUAGAUGAAAGAACAUGCACCUCUAUUGUUUGCUUUUGGCAAUAAAUACAAUGACUACAUGUUUAUUUUC